UACGGAGGGGGCGAGCGUUGUCCGAAGUUACUGGGCGUAAAGGGCGCGUAGGCGGGAGCCUAAGUCCGCUGUGAAAGCCCGAGGCUUAACCUCGGCGGGUCGGUGGAUACUGGGCUUCUUGAAGGUGCUAGGGGGAGAUGGAAUUACCGGUGUAGCGGUGAAAUGCGUAGAGAUCGGUAGGAACACCUGUGGCGAAGGCGGUCUCCUGGAGCAUUCUUGACGCUGAGGCGCGAAAGCUGGGGGAGCGAACGGG
rnacentral:rRNA from 1 species